rnacentral:rRNA from 1 species
CAGCUGUUAAAACCCAGCGCCAACAUAUUUCCGGUGAAAAGCCUAAGGCAGUCCUGGCCCGAGCUCCCCGCCCGAUGUGCACCGGGCCUCGAGGCGGGACCCUCUUGUAUGUCCCCCACUGCCGAGGGGCGUGUUCACCGUGCGGGUGCGUCGUCAAGCCUGAUGCCGCGCCGCGGCGGAGCUCCAGCGCCGUAGGCCCUCGCGCCAGGCGGCGAUUGCCCUCCGCCCAGGCCUGCAGCGUCAGGCGGCGCCCGAACCACACUCUCCGCGUACCUGACCCUGUUGCUUCCCCGGGGAGAUCCCCGGGGGAGGUCCCCGAGCACACAAUGCCGCCCAACCCACCCGCGCCCCAUCCGCCUGAAGGCCAGCGCGCCAAUCAAGAGGGAAUCAGACAGGAAAAGAAAAAACUUUCAACAACGGAUCUCUUGGCUCCCGCAUCGAUGAAGAACGCAGCGAAAUGCGAUAAGUAAUGUGAAUUGCAGAAUUCAGUGAAUCAUCGAAUCUUUGAACGCACAUUGCGCCCCCCGGCAUUCCGGGGAGCAUGCCUGUUCGAGCGUCUCGGGGAAUACUCCUCACGCCGGUGGAGGCGUGGUCAUGGCUGCGGUGGCGGGCCCGAGCGGGCGGCCACCGCGCUGGAAUCCAUGGGCGGACGCCUGCUGCGUGGCCGAGCGUGAUAUGACGCAUCGGCGCUUGCGCGCGGCGAGGCUGCCGGCCCUGGCCCGCUUGUCGGGCGGGGAGAGCAACACAUGGGAACUCCUCGAAUCAGGUAGGGAUACCCGCUGAACUUAAGCAUAUCAA